CACAAGCUCAUCAGGCCCUGAGGACAGUGGAUCUGCUUCUCCCACUGUGUCAAAUCAGUGACUUCGAGGAUUUCCCGACGGCAGGGGCUGAUUGGCCCCUCGGCUGGGUACUCACCGAAGGGAGAGAGGUUGGAAGAAGAGUUGAAAAUGUUGUGUCAACUCACAUAAAAAUACAUCCAAAUUACAUGUUCGGCUGGACCUGAAGCACCAGAAUUAGAAGCUAUUCUUUGUUGUGUGAACCACGGAGUUGAGAUGGUCUUGAACAGUCGUCUAGUUUUGCAGGUUCCUGCGCCCUCUUCUACCACACUCUUCUUCCUUUAAGUAAAUUGCCUUCAGCUGAUGGGAGUUUCAUUGGUUAACUAGACCAGACUCUUUCCACUUUCUUCAAUGUGCUGUACAGCUGAUUUAUUGUGCUCAAAUCAAGCUGUAGAGGAUCUUCCACAUCCACACCCAGGUGAAGAAACUGAGGCACAAAGAUUUACAGAACUCGUCCAGUGUUGAUCAGGCAGUAAGAAGCGCAUUAGGGUUUGGAUCUAGCAGCUCCAACUUCAACCCCUUUGUUCUCAACCACUUACCAUCCCGUCGCGUGCCAGAAAGAUGUCCUGGAUAAUCAAUCCCAUUUUGCCAGGGGCACCUGACCCUACAAGACAGCAAGUUGACAUCCUUGUGAGAUGUCGACACAGGAAAAGCCACUGGCAGAGGCAGAUGUGUCUGUUUUAGAACAUGGGGGUGGGAGUCUACAUUCUGUUUUAACUUUGCAAGUCUCAAAGAAUUCUUUCAUGACAGUACACAGAGAACUACUUCGUGAAAAUAAAUAGCCACAGAGUAAUAUGGACUUAAUUGCUUGAAUUGCUACAUGAGCUAAAAUAAAACAGCUGUGAUC